rnacentral:rRNA from 1 species
UACAGAGGUCUCAAGCGUUGUUCGGAUUCAUUGGGCGUAAAGGGUGCGUAGGUGGCGCCGUAAGUCAGGUGUGAAAUUUCGGAGCUUAACUCCGAAACUGCAUUUGAUACUGCGGUGCUUGAGGACUGGAGAGGAGACUGGAAUUCACGGUGUAGCAGUGAAAUGCGUAGCUAUCGUGAGGAAGACCAGUGGCGAAGGCGGGUCUCUGGACAGUUCCUGACACUGAGGCACGAAGGCCAGGGGAGCAAACGGG